UCACCACUCUCUCUGUAAAGAACUUCUCCCUGACAUCCAACCUAAAUCUUCCCUCCCUGAACUUAAAACCAUUUUUCGGAGACCUCCAAAAGCACCUGGGCACCGUGCUCUGGGUGUCCCUGCUGGAGCAGGGGCUGUGCCAGAUGGACCUGGAGGCCCUGCCUGCCUCAGAACCACUGUGAUUCUGUGAAAUCUCUGCUGGCACCAGAAGGCAGUUUCAUGGUUUCUGUGGGCACAGAUUUUAUUGCCCACGCCCACUUGUGAGCACGCCGUCUCUCGGACAGAGGCCGCCAGGUAGCCUUAUAGUGACAGCAUUUUCCAGUGCCAGGGAAAACCUCCACCCUCACAAGCUCAGAUCCUGAUCAGUCUCAAGAUAGAGCCUGCCAAGCAGUUGCCUCCCUUUGUUUCCAGCAUCAAGACUUUGUGAGGUAUAGUGAGCCCACACGGCAUUACACGAUGCGUGGCUGCCUAUAUAAGGGUGGGGAGGCCAUGAAUACCUCCCUGCACAACAGUCAUAAACACGGAAAGGGUGUGAACAGGGAAGGGCAAAGACUGCAACCAUGAGAUCAUGCUUUUACUUUGGAAUCCCGGUGACCUUUAGAUGAUGUUGCUUAACACAUGCAACCACCGAUAUUUUGCGUUCCUAAACCGCCCACCAACACGGCUCAGAAAUUUCACUUUGUUUCAGAGUAAAUUGCCGGAAAACAUACAGGUGGUUUGCUUUUUUCCCAUGGAUUUUUUAGUGAGGAUUCAUCUGAUAACUUUGCUCUGGUUAUUACAAUUAUCGUAAGCAGUACUGACUUGUCUCCUUGUUACCUUGUGCCCAGUUAAGUAUGAUUUCCCAAUUUAGAGAUGAAGAAGCCUCACAGUCACUAGUUAGCAGCACAGGGAGCAUAAUCUGUAUCUUCUGACUCAGAGUUCUGUGCUUUGAACAGCAGACCAUACUUCCUUCUUCAACAAAUUCAUGACAGCAUCUAAAGGAACUUUAGAACUUAAAAACAGCUUUCCUCUGAAAUGUUUAAGGUAAUGCAGCAUAAACAAGUUAGCUGUAUGUAAGCACAACCAAGGUCACUGAUACAUUUAAUUUUGGUGUAGACAGAUGAUUAGAUGUCCCCAGUUUUCCUCUCUUUCCUAAACAACUAUUAUGUAUAUAUAGAACAUGGCAGUUUGGCAAGUGUUUCUAAAAGGCAGAUUUGAUUUCAGUUGGUGUUUCUGCAUGCUUCAUAUGUUUUGUCUAGGAUUUUUGGGCGUAAAAGUUUUCACUACUAUUAUAUAUUUGCUUUCUGUUAAAAAAAUCUGUAUACAGAUCUUUCACUAAGGCAAGUUUUUAUUCUGUAGACUUUCAUCAUGACCCUUUAUCCAUAGUGUAAGGUUGCCUUGUAGCAAAAGCACUAACUGGCAGGCAGAUGCUCUACGAAAGUGAAAAAUCAGCAAAAAGAAGUGAUAAGGCAACUCAUUGUUCAAUUCAUUAAAUCUGAUGGUUGUCCAGCAUAACACUUCAUUUAAUCAUUCAUAUUCAAUGCCAUUUUGGCACUCCUGACAUAAACUUCUGGGGACAGAAAGUAAUACCAAACCUUUUAUCACCACUACUUUUUGACAUGAGUUUCAGUAGUCAUGGCCUCAGUUUCCAGAACUGGGGAAUGCAGAAAACAAAUUGUAAGUCAGACUGGACUAAAUAACACGUCUAGUCCUACUACCCAUUUAAAAGAAAAUAUAAAAUUCUCCUAGCUAUUCUGAUACUAAAGCCAUGAAACGUUUGCAAGACAUGGUGAUGUACUGGUAAGAGAUUGCUGUUUUCUUUUGUUAAUAUUGCUUGGGAAACUGGUUCUUCCCCACCCCCAUCUGGAGGACCACCAAGGAGGCAAGAACAGAGCUAUUUAGGACCACACAGGAAGGGGGAAGAAAGGUCCAGAUGAGGAGUGAUCCCCUUUAAAUACUGUUUUCUUUGUGUCUGGACUCAAGUCUAAACACCCAUGGCUCUGUGAAGGACCAGAGCAAGUGCUGCUCAGUGACAUCUCUCUGGUUGCUCCAACCAGCCAGGCCAUGGCUGCCACAUAGCAAUGUCACUGCGAUGACGCGUUGGUGUCAUGGUGAUGUUUGAACAUUGCCCAACAAAACACCCCAACAGUUCGGUCGGAUUUCGCUUACCAACUGGCAGGGCAAAGACUGCCUUACCACAGAAAUGCCUCUGCGUGAGAACUCCAGUCAGAGAGAGACAAGGAAAAUUAAAAUUUAGCCACCUGAACCAGAAACAUCUUCUGUUUCAGUGCCAGAAAAGCCAUUUGAGUCCUCAGGCUCCUCUUCUCCUUCCUUCCUAAUAGGAUGAAAAGGAACAAUAUGGGAUGCUGCUGCAGCAUGGAUAAAGGAAGAAAAAGAUUCACUAAUUUUUCAGAUGAAGAACAAACCACAUGUUUUCCUCACAUUUCUUUUGAGGAGAGCAAAGCCAGCAUCUCCUCAGCCCUCAGCUUUCCACAGAAACUCUGCAACUGGUUGAAAGUGACCAAUUUAAGAUGAUUUGGCAGUGUCAUAGUGGAAACUGUGUUGUCAUCGAUGAAGAAAUAUUUAAGCUGGGAAGGAAAGGACCUGUGAGAGUUUUUCGGACUACAAGCAUGAAAAGCUUCAUUCACCAACUUAAUUGUAUGAAUUCACCAAAACACACUGUGACAGCAAAAGAUCUCCUUCAGUUGCCAAAUUUCUUGCAAAGGAAGAAACAUUUGCUGCUUACAGGAAGAUGAUCCACAACUGCCUGAACACUGCCAGCAAGGGGCUGCCCUGAGGAGAGGAGAGGUGGCUGCCCCUGCCCUGCAGGACCUGAACGAGAGCCACCUGAGGAGCAGACCAGGUGCCCAGCUGCGGGGAGCAGCUGCUGGGUGAGACAAGAGCCUGCUGGCAGCACCAAAGGAAGAAGGCGCAGAGACAGCAGCACCCAUGGGCCCCCACCACUCAAGUGCCCUAAGAAAGCCACCACCCAAACCAGUGCUGCUCCAGCCCUGCCAGACCUACUGCAGCAGCACAGAGGGAAACGUGCCAGCCUCUGGCUCCCUCUCUGCUGCCACUGAGCAGACAGAUAAUUCUGGCAAUAUGUUUGAGUAAUACACCUUCUCCACUCUCAGGUCAUUCCUUUAUUUAUCUAUCUAUCUCUCUAACUGUUCUGGAAAUAAAAUGUUUAAAGAAUAAACUUUUCAGUUGUCGUGUUCUUUUAGUCGUUCUUUCAUUUAUUUAAUGGUGAAAUCUCCAAUUAAA